GACAUCUUAGUAUAGGAAGCUUACAGAACCCCUAAUAAACAUGACCAAAAGAGAUCCUCACCACAACCCGUCGUAAUCAAACUCACCACAGUGAAACAUAAAAAAUCUUAAAAUGUGCAAGAGAGAAACGUCAGACCACCCUCAGAGGAUCCCCAAUUAGACUCACAGCUGACUUCUCAUCAGAAACCUUACAAGCAAGGAGGGAAUGGCGAGAUAUAGCCCAGGUACUAAGAGAAAAACUGCCAGCCCAGAAUAUUAUAUGCUGCAAAGCUCUCAUUUGUGAAUGAAGGGGAAAGACCUUUCACAGCAAACAGAAACUGAAAGAAUUCGUCGCCACUCGUCCAGCCCUGCAAAAGAUGCUUAAAGAUUUGAUACACGCAGAAACACGGUCAUCAAUAUGAAAGAAGGUAAAGGAAGGAAACCUCACAGCAAAAGAUCACAGGAAACCCAAAAAUGAACAUAAACAAAGAAGGAAACCUUGGAAGAACCAGUGAAAAGGGUACAAUCGUGGAGACACCAGGAGGAUGACUGCAGCUCUGAUUUUACACAGAAGUCACUCAGCAACCUGUCCACAGGUUCACAGCUUCUGAAGCCAGCUUGGCUCCCUGCGCAUGUUCCUGACACGACUGUCGACUGUGUGGAUGAAGUGAGGACCCAAGGCCCGUGGGUUCAGGCGGUACACGGGGUCCCAAUGAUAGAGAGGAACCGGCUGGAUUGGCCCACAGCUACUUUGCCUUCUGCAAGCGUUGGUUCACUGGAGCGGGUGCAGUGGUGCCAGCUGCCGGAGCUGGUGUACAGGUGAACCUGUUCUCGCGGAGGGUUGCAAGGCCACAGUAGGCAGUACACAGCCACUACUGCUCUGUGAUCGUCUCCCAAGAAACUCCCUGCCCUCUACAGCAGAAGGACCCAGGCGCCCUCCCUGGGUGCCUGGAUUUAAUGACUGUGCCCUCACAUGUGUUCAUGUGUUCCUACAAGGCUGCCCAGAGCUGGACAGCCAUGUGCUUUGGGUCUGGAUCCUAUGGCGGGUCCCAUGAAAAACCCCAAGGUCCUCCCAACGCCACAGGGAGGUCCUCCUGGGGUCUCGGGGCCAAAUGAGCUGAGGCCUCUCCUCCUCCCCGGAUCCCCCGGCGCUCAGAUGAGCCCUAAGUGGGAGCAGAGCAGCCGCGUCCUAAGAGGGGAGAGGGUGUAGCCACGUGGCGUGGCGGCCAAAGGAGCUACCGUGGACGUGCUCUGGUCUUGGGGGCCAGGAUGGCACGUUUGUCGCGUGGACUGCGUUGGAAAGGCCUUGAGGACCAUGGUGCAUGCGAGGCGCACUCCCAGAAAAGCUGAGCUCCGAUGAGAUCCCUGCCUGCCCGCACCAGUGGGCCUGCCUUGGAUGUCAGCGCUACGCACCUGGAGCAGAAAAGGCCACAAGGGUGGCUUGUGAAGAAAGGACAUUUAUCUGGGCUGAGUGGCAGCAAGGCUAAGGCAAGGGAGUUCCUGUGUGCCCAGCGAAUGGGAGGCAAGGCAGCGAAGGCAGAGCAAGCAGCGCGGCUGGAGGGGGGAGCCCAUCGGACUGACUUGUGCAGGUGCCUGCCAGGACCCGAUGGCGGGGCCUGCCCCUCAACUUCUAACACCCUCUGAUGGCCCCCAGCAGGCCCCAGCUGCAAACAUUGCCUUGGGACAUGUACGCAGCCCGUGGGCACC